UUUUAAAAGUAAUGAGAUUAAUUUCAAGGUUUAGGGUAUUGUUAGCCACUAUUUUGCAACCACUUGACCUAAUGUAAUUGCAGUUUAGUAGCAUAAUUUGGCUAAUAAAAUUUAAUUAGAAAGUAGAAAGCACUUCUGAUUGGUCAAUUCUCAAAGGUAAGGAUUGGCUUUGUUCUUCCAACACCGUUGAGAUUAGUAAAUCUCACAGCCAAGACUUAAUCAGAUUUUCUUAUUUCCUUUCUCUUCCCUGCUAAGCAAGAUGCAUUGCGAUUUCCUCUUCUGUGGACGCACUGGAAUAUGAUCCGGGACUAAUUCCUGAGACAUCAGGUCAGAGAUCUUAGGAGUAGAUGCCGUGGGGAGAAGGAAUUCUACGACUGAUUGAGCCAACAAAUCCUAGCUAGAAUCUAAUCUGGAAAGAGCUCUCUCCUUGUUAGUUUUUCACAGACUGAACCUUUUUUCAUCUACUUGUUUGUUCUCUGCUCUCUCCUCGUCACUUUAUUUUCUUUUUCUUUUUUCCUCUUACAUCUCUCUUAGUCUUCUUUAUCUUCAUCUACUUAUGCUAUUUCUAACUGAUUUUUGUUUUGUUUACAGAUCUGAGGAGGACCAGUGAUGAAACGGGAAGGGACUUCAUCUACUUAUGCUAUUUCUAACUGAUUUUUGUUUUGUUUACAGAUCUGAGAAGGACCAGUGAUGAAACGGGAAGGGGAAGUGGUGGUGUAACGGAGCAUACGCGCCGGAGGUGGUGGUGGCGUGACGAAUCGGAGGAACCGCAGAUGCUGUAUCUAUCAGACCAACACCAGUGGCUUCCCGACCCGAUCGAGUAGUCGCUUUAGAUGGAACCACUCCGAGUCGCCGCUUCAUAUGGAACCACUCCGAUUCGUCGUGGUGCCGUUCAACCAGUGGUGGAAACCGUGCCGCCGUGGCUGAACCCAUAGAGAUGAUGAUGGUGUAUUUGUGUAUUUGUGUAUAUUUGUGUAUUUAUCUUUGUAAUUUUACUUUGAGAAAAUGACUAGGAUAGCACUAAAAAAGUUUGUGUCACAAAUAUAACCUCCUAAGAAUAAAAAUGACCAAAAUAGCACUUAAUGUUUUAUCAAAAGAGAUAAAUAUACAUUUAUACUCCAAUGGUAAAUUAAUUUAGACAUUAGGGUUUAUAGUUAAGGGGUGGAGUUUAGGAUUUAGGGUUUAGGGUUUAGAGUUUAGGGUUUAGGGUUUAUAGUUUAGGGGUGGGGUUUAGGGUUUAGGGUUUAGAGUCAAGGGGUGGGGUUUAGGAUUUAGGAUUUAGGGUUUCUACUUAAGGGGUGGAGUUUAGGAUUUAGGGUUUAUGAUUUAGGGUUUAGGGUUUAGAGUUUAGGGUUUAUGGUUUAGA
rnacentral:lncRNA from 1 species